UAUCAGUCAGCUAUUUCGUACUUGUGUUUUGUUGAACAGAAUGCUUACUGGCAAUUCUUAAUUCAGACGAUCUGACUACGUUUUCUACUAGAGUUGUCGGUUAACCGCGACACGCCCACUGUUGUGGGGUACCUGUAUAUAAGGAGGUACCGACCGGGGACAACUUCAUGUUCGAGGUAGGCGACUUUGACCACUCGCUUGGUCCGGCCUUACCUCGUUACGGAACCAAGUCUUCUUGCUCUUGGAUGAUUGUUUCCUGUUUGAUAUCAGGACAGAAGAAAAAUCAAAGAUGAUGACCUGACUGCUGUUUUAACACUGACGAGCCUCGGCUACGUCCUCUGCUACUACUCACGUCGAUGACCAUGACCACAUCGACUACACACAACGACUUCGUUAACGACCAACGACAAUGAAUUACGACUGCGACAUAAGCAACCCAUCUUCAGCCACGACGGUCCACGCUAACUCCUCUCACCAAUUAGAAGAAUGAUUCCCAAAUCAUAAUUCAAUGGCCACAGGUCACUGUUCACAAGUCACCGGUCACAACUCACAGCUGUCAAGCCACAGGUCACAAUUGAAGACCCCCUGACCUGUCGAAUCACAUGACCUCGUCUUUCGGAAGAUAACGGACAAUGAAAGAUUUUUCAUUUGUAUCUGGGAAACGAUUCUGUAAUCAGUCAUGGCUUCAUUUCAAUCUAUUUCAUUUAUAAAUUAUCAUUUUGUUUGUGAUAUUUCUUUUACGUUUCCCCCUGAAACGAAAUGCUUCAUAUACAAAUUUCGAAAUGUAUGUAUAUUAAUUUUAUCAUUAUAUUUACCUAAUGUCAAGAAGACCAUACGAAUUAUCUGUAUCUAUGUACUAGUAUAUAUGCGUACUUUAUUGUGCAUAUUUUCCGAGUGUGUCACGCUUGACAGUCUGAAGACAAUUGACAAAUAAACAUUCGUCAACCGGAUGAAUAUUGCAUAUGUGAAAUUAAUUCUCCGUACGUAUGUUUAAUGGAAGACAACAGUUCACUAUCACAUAGAUGAAACAGUAAUUGUUCUUGUUAUCUAUGUCAUAGCAAUCUAUGUUCUGACCUCAUCAAUGUAAUACCCCGUCUUCUUCUUGUGUUACUAAACGAAAGAAGCUCUCGUAAAAUCCCUGUUUAGACAUUGAAAUGCCCCAUUUACCAUUGACCUGUUCCUUGAGGCUUGUACAGUCACAGACAAAGUGUAAUCUAUAAAACCCUUAGGUACACAAUACAGUUCUCUCAUCUUAAAUACUCUUUGGUGGAAUAGAGCUGGCUAGACGUGUAAUUUUAAAAUCUAAAUUGGUUUUGGUUUCAUACACUACAUAUAUAGUCCAAGGUCACGGUGCCGAGCUAGUCCCUACUCCCAAUCCAGAAAAUGAUUAUUAUACGUGACAUUAUUCUGGACGAAAUGGAUACUACAUUAGUCAAAUAUUAAGUUAGAUCAAUAUUGAGCAGAAGAACUUCGAACAUGUUUGUUCUUUCACUUUAGCCCGUCCUCAAUUUCUUCUAACUGACGCCAUCAGUUAGACUAACAUAUAGUCUCUGAAAUGAACAUAUCGUACAGAAAAAAAACAGUUGUUCAGUUAUCUUAAUAAAAAUAUAAUAAAAAGGGAGCCCAGUGAUUCUGUUCAUUUUCAUACUUAUUUUGAUACUGCAGUAAUCUAGACUUGCCAAACAUUACAGACUUGCAUGGGCUGUAGUUGAUAUAUUUGUAUCAGGGUCUGUAAGACAGACUUGCCAUCAGUGUCCAGACGUUUCCGACAUUGAAUACUCAACAACACAAACAACUCUGAACACGCAUGUUUAUUUCAUUAGAGCUGAUACUUAACUUCAACCUGAAGAUGUUUCCACAUAGAAAGUAGAAAGCUCCGUCAUUGUAUGUGCACAUCUAGCUGCGGUUACCAUAUCACUGUGGAUACGGCAGCUCUGUGUAGGGGGCCCGUGGAGAUCCGGGGUAGAAUAGGUCUUCAGCAAAUCAUGCUUGUCGUAAAAGGCGACAAUGACUGACGGGAUCGGGUGGUCAGGCUCGCUGACUUGGUUGAUAUAUGCCAUCAAUCCCAAUUGCGUGGAUCGAUGCUCAUGAUAUUAAUCACUGGAUUGUCUGGCCCAGACUCGAUUAUUUACACACCGCCGUCAUAUAGCUGGAAUAUUGCUGAGUGCGGCGUUAAACAACAAACCAACCAACUGUGUCGCGACAAGUCAAUAUCAAAUCGUUCAUAGGGAGCAGAGAUACGGUUGGCGCAGCCGGUACACACCAUACAUUUGAUCUGUGCGCGAGUGUUUUACUACGAUAGAUCAUUUUUUACUGUAUGCUUCUAUAUUUUAUCUGGCGGCCGCCAGAUACUUCCACGGGUGGGAUAAAUAUAGAGGUUUACAGGGGGAAAUGAUCUCACCAGUGGCGGGCAUGGACCACCGUUCAUUACAGUGUAGCUUCCUAAAUACAAACUGAUAGCCCAUUGAACUGUAUCAAAACUACAUCCAACCAGAGGUCGGGUGUUUGUCUUCAUCCUUAUCUCAUCUUCUCUGAUUAUUGGGUAUAAAGUCUGAACGAUGUGGUUGUCACAUUCGCGUAGCCUCUGUCGAAGUACCGAGUUGUUUACAUGUUGUUUAUCUGUUGUUUACACGUUGUUUACGUGUUGUGUCGGGUUAACUACGUCUUUAACACCCUGGUUCCAUGUAAACCACCAAUCCACAAAUAAUGUUUUUAUUGAAUAAAUUCUUGGAAAUGC